UGGGGAAUAUUGGACAAUGGGGGCAACCCUGAUCCAGCAAUGCCGCGUGUGUGAAGAAGGUCUUCGGAUUGUAAAGCACUUUCGACGGGGACGAUGAUGACGGUACCCGUAGAAGAAGCCCCGGCUAACUUCGUGCCAGCAGCCGCGGUAAUACGAAGGGGGCUAGCGUUGCUCGGAAUGACUGGGCGUAAAGGGCUGUAGGCGGUUUACACAGUCAGAUGUGAAAUCCCCGGGCUUAACCUGGGAGCUGCAUUUGAUACGUGUAGACUAGAGUGUGAGAGAGGGUUUGUGGAAUUCCCAGUGUAGAGGUGAAAUUCGUAGAUAUUGGGAAGAACACCGGUGGCGAAGCGGCAACCUGGCUCAUGACUGACGCUGAGGCGCGAAAAGCGUGGGGAGCAAACAGGAUUAGGA
rnacentral:rRNA from 1 species